GACAGUUUGGCCGAGUGGUUGUAAGUAAAUUUACCGUCAAGGCUAAAAGUGUGGGCAUCACCUCUAACGAAAUGUAGAAGGCGGCAGACUCGAAUGGUCCGUUCUUGGACCAGAAUCGCCAUCUGCUGGGUUCGCCCGCACAGGUUCAAAUCCUGUAGCUGUCG
rnacentral:tRNA from 1 species